AGUGAACGCUGGCGGUAGGCCUAACACAUGCAAGUCGAACGGCAGCACAGUAAGAGCUUGCUCUUACGGGUGGCGAGUGGCGGACGGGUGAGGAAUACAUCGGAAUCUACUUUUUCGUGGGGGUUAACGUAGGGAAACUUACGCUAAUACCGCAUACGCCCUACGGGUGAAAGCAGGGGAUCUUCGGACCUUGCGCGAUUGAAUGAGCCGAUGUCGGAUUAGCUAGUUGGCGGGGUAAAGGCCCACCAAGGCGACGAUCCGUAGCUGGUCUGAGAGGAUGAUCAGCCACACUGGAACUGAGACACGGUCCAGACUCCUACGGGAGGCAGCAGUGGGGAAUAUUGGACAAUGGGCGCAAGCCUGAUCCAGCCAUACCGCGUGGGUGAAGAAGGCCUUCGGGUUGUAAAGCCCUUUUGUUGGGAAAGAAAAGCAGCAGGUUAAUACCCCGCUGUUCUGACGGUACCCAAAGAAUAAGCACCGGCUAACUUCGUG
rnacentral:rRNA from 1 species